CCCAUCGCUUACGGUUUCGUAGCAUCAGUGACAGCUGUGGGAGCGUUCAUGAGGCCGCUGGUUAUAGGAUAUUUUCGGGACGCAAACGGAUCAUACGGCGGACUUUUCCACUUCAUGGGAGGAAUGGUUUGCACAUCUGUCCUGCUCACUGGUUGGCUCUGGGCUUCAAGUAGACGAAAAAAUAAACUGCAGCGCGAGACUUUGUCGGUCGCCAGAGCGGCGGGUCUAAAUGCUUGACAU